rnacentral:rRNA from 1 species
ACUUGAGUAUUAAUAGCUAUGGUCUUUAAAUUCAAAGAAUUUGGCGGUGUUUUAGUCUUGUUAGAGGAACCUGUUCUGUAAAUGACACGACACGAAAAAUCUUACUUACUUUAGUUUGACAGCUUGUAUACCGUCAUUAUUAGAUAACCUUUAUUGAGAAAGUUAUUGAAAUUUAAGAAAUUAAAAUAUAUUAGAUCAAGGUGCAGUUUAUGGGUAAGGAGAAAUGGGUUACAAUAAAAUUUAUUUACACGUAUCAAAUGAUUGAAUGAUUUUUGUGAAGGAGGAUUUAAUUGUAACAUAUAAUUUAAUAAGUUAAUGUGAUAUGAGAACUAAAAUAUGUACACAU